rnacentral:lncRNA from 1 species
UUAUAUUUAAAGAUUUGGGAUUCUAGAUACUUACCAGUUGCAGCAUUAAAGAGUUUAACAUUGAUACCUUCCUCCUCUUUCUACUUUGUGUUUUGAAUUUUUGUAUUUUCUGUUUGUUGGCUCGAAACGCGGCUGGUCUUUUUCCUGCAAUUGAAAUUGCGACUUGCCAAGGUGAUAAUCCUUGGUUGUUGGAAUCGUCUCCAUGACUCUUGUUUCGGAGGUUGAA